rnacentral:lncRNA from 1 species
UGUUUUUAGAUGUAGGAUCUGCUGUACUUCCUCAGUAGAAGUCAUCUUUCAGAAAUAGCGGCUUCUUUAGGACUCAAAAUCCGUUUUGGGCUACAGUGGGAAGGCUAGAAAGGGGAGGUCACGGGACGGAAUUGGCGGGAGAAUAAGAUCUGAGCACCGAAACUGAAGCUACUACGACAUGAAGUUUAUGGACGCGGGUGAGAAGGGUUGGGAUUUGUCCUCUGGAGAGGAAUAGCUGAAAGGGAAGAGGGUGGCCAACAAGAAAAUGAACAGAGCACCCGGUUUCGGGGUCUUAAUCCUCAGAGAGACUGAGAGCUGAAGAACCAAAUGGGACCUCAGAGUAAUGUAAGGACUCUUCUUCUUCCAAAAGCUACCAAGAGCAAAACAUAGACCGUGUCACCGUGGUUACAGAAGACAUCCUGGGAGGAAGCAUAUCUGCCUCGCAAAUAAAGAAGCUGGUGGCCUCCGAU